UACGGAGGGUGCAAGCGUUAUUCGGAAUUACUGGGCGUAAAGCGCACGCAGGCGGCUACCUAAGUCAGAUGUGAAAGCCCCGGGCUUAACCUGGGAACUGCAUUUGAAACUGGGUGGCUAGAGUAUGAAAGAGGAAAGCGGAAUUUCCAGUGUAGCAGUGAAAUGCGUAGAUAUUGGAAGGAACACCGAUGGCGAAGGCAGCUUUCUGGGUCGAUACUGACGCUCAUGUGCGAAAGCGUGGGGAGCAAACAGG
rnacentral:rRNA from 2 species